UAUCUCGAAAUGCCCUGAUUUUUGGUGUCCAAAGGAAUGGGGGUGUGGGGAGAAAUAGUCACUCCUUUGCAGUGAGGAGGGCAUAUUUUGGCCAAAAUCCAACGUUUAGACCAUUUUUUGGGCCAUUUUGUGUUUUCUUGGUGUGUUUAUGUGAUUUUUCCUUGUGUGUUUUGUUUUGUUUUUGUUCUUGUUGAUACUUAAUGCAUAACUUGAGGAAUUGAGGUUAGAGGCAUAUGAGAACUCCAGGAUCUACAAGGAAAAGACCAAAGCUACACACGACAAAUUGAUUGCUAAGAAGGAGUUGAACGUUGGCAAUAAAGUCCUCCUUUACAAUUCACGCCUAAAGCUGAUGCCUGGUAAGUUGCGUUCUAGAUGGGUUGAUCCUUUUGUGGUUACUCAUGUUUCUCCCUAUGGUGCAGUUGAGAUCAUGGACGGGUCGACUACGAAGAAAUUCACAGUUAAUGGGCAGAGGCUUAAACAUUUCUACGAGGGCUUUACAGAACACACAGUGGAGGAGCUAUCUCUCUUGGACCUUCCUCCGACUUGAUACCACCAGAUUAGGGCUUCCUGGGUCAUGAGAAAUUUUGAUGGCAAGAAGGGAAACAAGGAGAUUGGAGACAAAGAAGCAACCAAUGUGCUGAUAGAUUUGACCUUCUAUGCUUCUUUCAAGUUUUUGGCCAAGUUACAAUCCCAGAACGUGAAUGAUGUCUUUAGAGAUAUUGUAGAGGACUUCUUUGGAUUUCUGUAAUGGUAUGGUUUGUCCAAAUCCAAGUUCGUUUGGGCCUCCAAACAGCGCUUCAAAGUCGGGACCAGAAAGUUGGGUCAAAUUAGGAAAGCUGCACAGAUGCUGAAUCUUUAAAAGGCCAUAACAUGGGCGUUCAAUAUCCAAAUCAAGUGAUUUAAAAGCCUAAAUUCAUAUACUCUUCCUGAUCUACAAUUUUGAUGAAGGGGGUGAAGCCCAGAGCGCACUUUAUCCUAUUCGAAAUUGGCUGUGAAGUUGCGGUAACUUAGGGUUUCCUCCCUAAGCUCUAUUUAAGCACAUUAAGUGGCCGAUUUUGGAAGUGGCCGAUUUUGGGAUUCUUCUCAUGAUUUCAACCAAGAAGAUGGAAGGCUAAUUUGCUUGUGAUUCACUACAUUCUCGUACCCCUUGCCCGGUUUGAGUCUCGGUCAUAUUGUUGAAUCCGGUUUAGAACUCAAUUUUCAUGUUUUUAUGGAUGAUUUUGUUUCUUUUCCUUCUCUAAGUUUAUGUAUGUUUCUUUUAUGCGAUUGUGUGAAUGCAUGCAUGAUCUUUGGAUGGGUUUAAUUGAUGUACUCGGUUGAGGCUUUGAUUAGAAAGAAACGAAACGGUAUAUUUGUAUGAGCAAUUGCUCGAUUUGAUUUAAUCUUUUACGGUUGUAGAAGAGUUUUUCAAAUCAAAAGAAAAUCAAACCAAACAGAUUGUUUUCAUAAGUGAGACAAGGAUUACCGUGGUAAGAAGGUAGGGUUUGUAGCGGGUUACGUUUUAGUUCAUCUUUGUUUCAUUCUUGAACGUUUUUAAUUCUGUUUUUCACCAAAUCCCCCCCCUCGUUUAGUCUUGUUUUGACAGAUCCGUUUGAGGUUCGUUGGGAGACGACUUUGGGUUGCACCCUUGCUGCAAAUCAAAAUCAUUAUUCAUCUAAUCUAUCGGUGUUCGACAGCCCGAUCAGAUUUUAGCGCCGUUGCCGGGGAACCGUCAAACUAUUCUGCCAUAACAAGAUUUGUUUUCUGUCUUUCUUUUUCUUUUUAGUUCUCUUUCAUUCUUUGUUGCUUUCUUUUGUUGCUUCUUCGUAUCUUGCUCUUUGGUUUCUCUUUUAUUUUAUUUCCUUGUUGAUUCUUUGUGUUUUCUUUGUUCAUUCUUUGUGUUUUUCUUUUCGGUUUGCUUGUUUUCUGCUUCUUUUUUUUUUUUUGCCAUAAACAGCACUGUUCACUGCCGAUGACUAUCUCGAAAUGCCCUGAUUUUUGGUGUCCAAAGGAAUGGGGGUGUGGGGAGAAAUAGUCACUCCUUUGCAGUGAGGAGGGCAUAUUUUGGCCAAAAUCCAACGUUUAGACCAUUUUUUGGGCCAUUUUGUGUUUUCUUGGUGUGUUUAUGUGAUUUUUCCUUGUGUGUUUUGUUUUGUUUUUGUUCUUGUUGAUACUUAAUGCAUAACUUGAGGAAUUGAGGUUAGAGGCAUAUGAGAACUCCAGGAUCUACAAGGAAAAGACCAAAGCUACACACGACAAAUUGAUUGCUAAGAAGGAGUUGAACGUUGGCAAUAAAGUCCUCCUUUACAAUUCACGCCUAAAGCUGAUGCCUGGUAAGUUGCGUUCUAGAUGGGUUGAUCCUUUUGUGGUUACUCAUGUUUCUCCCUAUGGUGCAGUUGAGAUCAUGGACGGGUCGACUACGAAGAAAUUCACAGUUAAUGGGCAGAGGCUUAAACAUUUCUACGAGGGCUUUACAGAACACACAGUGGAGGAGCUAUCUCUCUUGGACCUUCCUCCGACUUGAUACCACCAGAUUAGGGCUUCCUGGGUCAUGAGAAAUUUUGAUGGCAAGAAGGGAAACAAGGAGAUUGGAGACAAAGAAGCAACCAAUGUGCUGAUAGAUUUGACCUUCUAUGCUUCUUUCAAGUUUUUGGCCAAGUUACAAUCCCAGAACGUGAAUGAUGUCUUUAGAGAUAUUGUAGAGGACUUCUUUGGAUUUCUGUAAUGGUAUGGUUUGUCCAAAUCCAAGUUCGUUUGGGCCUCCAAACAGCGCUUCAAAGUCGGGACCAGAAAGUUGGGUCAAAUUAGGAAAGCUGCACAGAUGCUGAAUCUUUAAAAGGCCAUAACAUGGGCGUUCAAUAUCCAAAUCAAGUGAUUUAAAAGCCUAAAUUCAUAUACUCUUCCUGAUCUACAAUUUUGAUGAAGGGGGUGAAGCCCAGAGCGCACUUUAUCCUAUUCGAAAUCGGCUGUGAAGUUGCGGUAACUUAGGGUUUCCUCCCUAAGCUCUAUUUAAGCACAUUAAGUGGCCGAUUUUGGAAGUGGCCGAUUUUGGGAUUCUUCUCAUGAUUUCAACCAAGAAGAUGGAAGGCUAAUUUGCUUGUGAUUCACUACAUUCUCGUACCCCUUGCCCGGUUUGAGUCUCGGUCAUAUUGUUGAAUCCGAUUUAGAACUCGAUUUUCAUGUUUUUAUGGAUGAUUUUGUUUCUUUUCCUUCUCUAAGUUUAUGUAUGUUUCUUUUAUGCGACUGUGUGAAUCCAUGCAUGAUCUUUGGAUGGGUUUAAUUGAUGUACUCGGUUGAGGCUUUGAUUAGAAAGAAACGAAACGGUAUAUUUGUAUGAGCGAUUGCUCGAUUUGAUUUAAUCUUUUACGAUUGUAGAAGAGUUUUUCAAAUCAAAAGAAAA